rnacentral:rRNA from 1 species
UACGUAGGGGGCAAGCGUUGUCCGGAAUUACUGGGCGUAAAGGGUGCGUAGGCGGUUCGUUAAGUCUGUCGUGAAAUCCCCGGGCUCAACCUGGGAAUGGCGAUGGAUACUGGCGAGCUAGAGUGUGUCAGAGGAUGGUGGAAUUCCCGGUGUAGCGGUGAAAUGCGUAGAGAUCGGGAGGAACAUCAGUGGCGAAGGCGGCCAUCUGGGACAACACUGACGCUGAAGCACGAAAGCGUGGGGAGCAAACAGG